rnacentral:rRNA from 1 species
UACAGAGGGUGCGAGCGUUGUCUGGAAUCACUGGGCGUAAAGGGCGCGUAGGCGGCUUGAUAAGGUUGCGGUGAAAGCCCGGGGCUCAACCCCGGGUCGGCCGUGGCAACUGUCGAGCUGGAGCACUGUAGAGGCAGGUGGAAUUCCGGGUGUAGCGGUGGAAUGCGUAGAGAUCCGGAAGAACACCGGUGGCGAAGGCGGCCUGCUGGGCAGUGGCUGACGCUGAGGCGCGACAGCGUGGGGGAGCAAACAGG